rnacentral:rRNA from 1 species
AUCCUUUGGGCUAAUACCUCGGAGGGAUGACGGUACCUGAAGAAUAAGCACCGGCUAACUACGUGCCAGCAGCCGCGGUAAUACGUAGGGUGCGAGCGUUAAUCGGAAUUACUGGGCGUAAAGCGUGCGCAGGCGGCUUUGCAAGACAGAGGUGAAAUCCCCGGGCUCAACCUGGGAACUGCCUUUGUGACUGCAAGGCUAGAGUACGGCAGAGGGGGAUGGAAUUCCGCGUGUAGCAGUGAAAUGCGUANAUAUGCGGAGGAACACCGAUGGCGAAGGCAAUCCCCUGGGCCUGUACUGACGCUCAUGCACGAAAGCGUGGGGAGCAAACAGGAUUAGAUACCCUGGUAGUCCACGCCCUAAACGAUGUCAACUGGUUGUUGGACGGCUUGCUGUUCAGUAACGAAGCUAACGCGUGAAGUUGACCGCCUGGGGAGUACGGCCGCAAGGUUGAAACUCAAG